AGAGUGUCUCACGGUUUGUGGGCUCAUCUAAAGUUUAAGAACCAUCUAGUCCAGCAGGUGGCGGUAAUGCACCUUAAAGCUCUAACCGCCAAAGAAAAACCCCAAAGAAGAAGAAGCCGCAGAGUUCCCGCUUCAUUGCGUUUGUGUUUUAGUUUAUUUUUCUUCCUAAUCUGAAGCACUAAGCUGAUCAGCAGGAGGAGAAGAGUCUCAGCAGCAGGGGAACAUUUAAGCUACUUUCACUCAGCUCAGCCACUGCAGAGAAAACAAUGAGUUCGACACAGAAGGACCAACAUGGACCGAGAAGU